CCUACGGGAGGCUGCAGUGAGGAAUAUUGGUCAAUGGGCGGAAGCCUGAACCAGCCAAGUCGCGUGAGGGAAUAAGGCCCUACGGGUCGUAAACCUCUUUUGCCGGGGAGCAAGGGCCGGGACGAGUCCCGGUCCGGAGAGUACCCGGAGUAAAAGCAUCGGCUAACUCCGUGCCAGCAGCCGCGGUAAUACGGAGGAUGCGAGCGUUAUCCGGAUUUAUUGGGUUUAAGGGGUGCGUAGGCGGGCUUUUAAGUCAGCGGUAAAAAUUCGGGGCUAACGCCCGUCCGGCCGUUGAAACUGGGGGCCUUGAGUGGGCGAGCAGAAGGCGGAAUGCGUGGUGUAGCGGUGAAAUGCAUAGAUAUCACGCAGAACCCCGAUUGCGAAGGCAGCCUUCCGGCGCCCUACUGACGCUGAGGCACGAAAGUGCGGGGAUCGAACAGGAUUAGAUACCCCUGUAGUC
rnacentral:rRNA from 1 species